rnacentral:lncRNA from 1 species
UGGGAGUCCUCCACCCUGUAGCAAAGGAGAAGCAUCUGAGGGCACAAGCAGGGCAUGGCAGCAGUGGGGCAGAAGUGCAGCUAAUAGGUGGACAGGUUUGCAACCCUAUGACUCUUUUCAUACUCUCAGCAGUGGCUCACAAAGCCUUAAAGCCACAGUCAGUGUGUGCUGUUUUCCUAUUGCUUAGCCAGCAGUCUUUUCCCUUAUUCCACCCUCCAUAUCCUCCCACUGCCUGAGACUGAAAACUGCUAGGCAAGGACUCUCAAAAUAGGUCAUGUGCCCUCCCGCAAUGUCCUCGGUGUGGCUAGGAAGCCAUGGAUGUGCAGCAAGGUGGAUGAAAGCAAGGCAGGGAUGAGGUGCAGGCAGCACACACAGGAGACAAGGUAGUUUGGGUUGCUAGAAGCCACUGACCUGAGCUGACAUGUUUAGCAGGGACACCAAAAUAACAACAAAGAGCAAUAGAGAGAGAGGCUGAGAGGGGGCUUCGUGGCUCCAAGGUUCUCAGCCUUGGACUUUGUGCUCCAGCUCUGUCUGCUCUCUGUCUCCUGGCUGGAUCUUCCCAGUGUUGCUCCAUGUCCUGGCGCUGACACCCUACCUUCUCCCAGCUCCGAGUCCUGCUCUGACCCUGCCUGUCAGCAGCCACUUCCCCUUCCAAGCCUGCUCUCCUGGGAGAUGGGCCUUACUGUUUUGGGAACUAGCUUUGGGAAGCUGGAUUUCUCAGCGGCGAGCACCAUUACUCAAACUGGUCGCGGGCAAAAUCUGGCUUCUGCUGUCUGGAUGAGAACGCUUUCUGGUCACAGUGAAUUUGCCUGUGCGGCUGGAAUCCAGAUGUGCAAAUUUAUCAUCUACUUAACAGCAUGGAAAUUCAAGAUAAGUGCAACAGCAGUCUCCUCCUUGUCCGUACCAGGGGUCCCUCCUUUCAGCGUACCAACAUGCCUUCGUCAGUGUUUUCAGACUUUUCUCAAAGGUUAUUUGGAGACACUGCCUGCAAAAUAUUCUACGAAUGACAGAAGAAACUGUGGUAUAUGCUGACCAUGCCCUUCUAAAUA